CUUUGCUCAUACAAGCUACAGAACCAUUUAGCACAAACUGCUAUGGUUCAACAUAACGAUGCCUCUGAAUGUUCUUGAAGCUGUUCUCCAGGAGGUGAUACCAGCACAGGGAGACUCAGCUUACCUCACCUUGGCAUUGACCUGCAAGUGCUUUGAAGCCGUUGUGUCUGAGCCAGUUUUCAGGAAGAAGACUCACUUUGCUUGGCUGGAUGGUGAGAUCAACUGGGGCAAAUUUUCAAAAAACAUUCACGGCAGAAAACCGGAUUCCUUUUGCGGUUGUAA